AAUGAUACAAUGGACAUAUUGUCUAAAGGGUACAUUCUAAGCUAAAAGAUAUUGAAAAUUUGGCGAGAAAUAACCAAUAUUUACGGAAUUAGAAUCAAUUUACAUGAGUGCGGUGACAUCAUGAAACAGAAAACGUUAAUUUUUAGUUCCGACGCCAUUUUGAUGACGUCACGAUGUUUUUAAGGGUCAAAUGUGGCAUGAAAUCAUAUUUUCUUUUCAUACUCUAUUCGAAUAGGAAAAAACAAUUGGGGGUCAACGGACUCCCUGAAGAGCUACAGUGAAUUUUAUAUAGGCAUAUUUUUGCCCAUUUACGCGCGAGUAAUGCAAAUUUGAAUGGACGCGCAUUCCCGUAUUAUUGCUCGUAAGAGGCUGAAUGAGGUAUCAAAUUAAUCAGAAGCUAAUGGACAGUGGACAGACAUAAAAUAAAUGAUGACUCGAAGAUGCAUACCGAUGGUAGGUGCAAGAACGCGCACGCAUACCUGUGCGCGCGCAAAUUCUUGACAUGCUCAAAAUGACCCGAAACGUACCCAAACUUGACCACGGUUGAUUUGGGGAAUUUUUGAAUUUUGACGCGCGCGUACGUGCGCGUCGUGACCUUUGCAUGACCUCUGAUGACAUGUCCUGAUGACCUGUCACCUGAACUUGAUAUGAUGCAAAUAUGGAUGAUUUUUUAUGAUUAGUUGCGGUAAUAUGAUCAAUAAUUCAUUUUUACAAAAUGGCGCCUAGAUGACGUCAUCAUGAUAACCUUGAAAAGUUUCGUUUCGCGAUUCCAUAAUAAUUUCCAUACAUGACAUGAAAAUCAAGAAAUUUGACAAGCCCGAUUUUGAGAUAAAGUGGGAACAAAAUUUGGCAAUAAAAAUAAAUAAAGUAAAUUCUGACGAAUAUAAUAGGUGAUCUGUCAUAUUCAUGACAGACCACCUAAUUAUAUGCCAUGAAAUGAGAUUUUUGUCAAAUACAUUUAGACAAUCUUGACAAAGUGCAGAGUGUCUUUUCAAUUAAUAUAUAGCAUAUACCUAUUUUAUGAUUUGUUUGUGUUUGCAUUUUAAAUAAAGGUUUGCAGAAACCAGACAGAGAGCCUGUGUGGAGAUGCUAUUGGCUGCCCAGGUCGGACUGCCUCCAACAUGAGGCGGUCUUGGAGUGAUCUAACAAAAGAGUGAAUGAUUAUGCUAGGAAUCAGACAAAGACUGGUGGUAAAGUGAAGCCAAAUAUGGAGAUUGUGCUGGCAGCCAUGAGGGACAAGGCCAAGCAUUGGGUCCAUGGCCAGGAGACAGAGACUGGGGCAUCUGAGCAACUGCUUUCACAUAAGGCAGCCUGCUUCUGGACAUGGGGAAGCCAGAGGAGGAAAAGGAGGUUGAGGCGGAACCUCAAGCUGUUCCCGGGGCACCAUUGACAUCCAGGGUAGAUGGGGUCUAGUUGAUUUUUAGGACACCAAGAUGACACCCAGCAUAAGAGAAGAGAAGGUGCUCUUCCUGUUAUGACCAGCACACCAAGUACCAGGAGCAUGGAUAUGCAGCAAGUUCAGCAGGAGACGCUCAGAAUGCAGCAAGCUAUGCUGCAAACAUUUAAAAUCAUCCAUGUUGAUUUUUGUAAUUAUCCACAAUUGUUUGCAGCAGUUUGUUAAUGGAAAUCAGUAGUAACAUUAAACAAUGCAACUUUCUCUGCAUUUUUUUUUUACUGGAAACCUGUUGAAUAUUGUUUUAGAAAAUGAAGUAAAUCACCUUGAACUUUGGAAAUUUCCGAAAGCAUAUAUUUUAGCAAGUAAUAUGAAAAUGAGAUAUACCAUGGUCACAUUUGGUGGCCUUACGGCUAGUCGAAAUCAGUCGUUUUAUGUAUUACUAUACAAACCACCUACAUGAAGCUGGUACAAGGAUGAGUAAAAUGGCUGAUUUUGACUCGCCAAAAUGCCACCGGCUGGCAAAUGUGACCUAGACAUAAGUUGUUGAUGUCAUUGCCUCAUAAUUUUGAACAAAAAAAUGACAAAGACUACAUUCUUCAGGAUUGAGAAAGUUAAACUUGAACUUUAUUCUCAUCUCAGUAGAUAGAAGAUAAUGUUAUUCAUUCAAUACUGCGGUAGAAUUUGAACAAAUGCCUUGCAAUGCAAAAUAAAAAUUUAGGUUCUGAAAUCUUGAUGGGAAUCCCUGUGCAAGAACAGUUUUAAAGUUUAUUUAUACAUGUUCAUAUUGCAAGUCUGUUAUAUGAUCUGUCAGCAUUGUUUGUGGAUCUCACACUGGUGUCAUUAGCCAUAGUUCCAAUCUAUAUCCUGCAUUGCCCAACAGGAUGCCUUGCAAUUCGCCAUCUGCAAAACGUUUUCCAAUGGUACUUUUAUGUUGAUUUAAAAGAAAAGGGACCUUGUAAACAUUCAAUCACAUCUUUCAAUACGCAUAUAAGGGUAUGGGAUACUGUUAGCAUUGAAAUUAAAAUAUGACUUGAUAAAAAUUAUUUUCAAUUAAAUUCAAAGUAUUAUAAUGGUUCAUAACGA